CUUGCUAGUUGCUGACGAGUGGCGCACGGGUGAGUAAUGCAUAGGUAACGUGCCCCUUAGUCUAGGAUAGCCACUGGAAACGGUGAUUAAUACUGGAUACUCCUUCUCUCUUAAUGAGAGUUGGGAAAGUUUUCGCUAAGGGAUCGGCCUAUGUUGUAUCAGGUAGUUGGUGAGGUAAUGGCUCACCAAGCCUAUGACACAUAGCGGGUCUGAGAGGAUGAUCCGCCACACUGGUACUGAGGCACGGACCAGACUCC
rnacentral:rRNA from 1 species